GACGAACGCUGGCGGCGUGCUUAACACAUGCAAGUCGAACGGAAAGGCCCUGCUUUUGUGGGGUGCUCGAGUGGCGCACGGGUGAGUAACACGUGAGUAACCUGCCCUUGACUUUGUGAUAACUUCAGGAGACUGGGGCUAAUACCGGGUAGGAGCUCCUGCUGCAUGGUGGGCGUUGGAAAGUUUCGGCGGUUGGGGAUGGACUCGCGGCUUAUCAGCUUGUUGGUGGGGUAGUGGCUUACCAAGGCUUUGACGGGUAGCCGGCAUGAGAGGGUGACCGGCCACAUGGGGACUGAGAUACGGCGCAGACUCGUACGGGAGGCAGCAGUGGGGAAUAUUGCACAAUGGGCGGAAGCGUGAUGCAGCAACGCCGCGUGCGGGAUGACGGCCUUCGGGUGGUAAACCGCUUUCGCCUGUGACGAAGCGUGAGUGACGGUAAUGGGUAAAGAAGCACCGGCUAACUACGUG
rnacentral:rRNA from 1 species